rnacentral:tRNA from 1 species
GCGAACGUGGCGGAAUCGGCAGACGCACUGGAUUUAGGUUCCAGCGCCCGCAAGGGCGUGUGAGUUCGAGUCUCACCGUUCGCACAA